AUCACUUCUCGCCCUUUUAGCAUAGAUCAAAAUGUAGUAUUUGUGCUUAUUAGCUUAAUUUUGAUACGAGGCCAUACGUUUUUUUAUAUGGUAUAUAUUUAUAACUUAUUUAUAUGAGAGUAUGGAUGUUAUGUCGCGGUCGGCCUCGUAUUGAAGUCCCUCCGGGAGUGGUCCACUGCCC
rnacentral:snRNA from 1 species